CCUUCGAUAGCUCAGUUGUUAGAGUGGAGGACUGUAGAUCCUUAGGUCGCUGGUUCGAAUCCGGCUCGAAGGA
rnacentral:tRNA from 1 species